rnacentral:rRNA from 1 species
AGAUGGAUUAGUGGCGCACGGGUGAGUAACGCAUAGAUAACAUACCCUUUAGUCUAGGAUAGCCACUGGAAGCGGUGAUUAAUACUGGAUACUCCUUACGAGGGAAAGAAUUUCGCUAAAGGAUUGGUCUAUGUCCUAUCAGCUUGUUGGUGAGGUAAUGGCUUACCAAGGCUAUGACGGGUAUCCGGCCUGAGAGGGUGAACGGACACACUGGAACUGAGACACGGUCCAGACUCCUACGGGAGGCAGCAGUAGGGAAUAUUGCUCAAUGGGGGAAACCCUGAAGCAGCAACGCCGCGUGGAGGAUGAAGGUCUUAGGAUUGUAAACUCCUUUUGUUAGAGAAGAUA